rnacentral:snoRNA from 1 species
CACAUCCAGAUUACUUAACUCUUGGAUCUAAGCAUUGAUCUGAAGGGCUAUAAAGUAGGAAACAUAAAACUGAAGUGAACUUGGAUUUUUAGUGACAUACAAGUUCAUUAAAAAAAAAA